rnacentral:lncRNA from 1 species
UGCAGGAUCUCAUCUUUGCAUUUUCCACAGUGUAAAACAUGAUCAUUUACAGGAACUGACUAGCAAUCAUUAGAGUUAAAAAAGAAGACAGUAGUUUGCAAAAUAUCACUUAGAAAUAGGUACAGAGAAUAUCGCAUCUCCUUUGAAAAUAAAAAAUCCAUUACAAUGGAAAUAUACAAGGCAAUGACAGUAUGAAUAUCAACAGAGAAGUACAAUGAAAAUACAAGACAAUGAAAACACAUCAAUGCAAGAAUAAUAUUCAGGACAACAGAGAAGUACACUAAUUUGUUACUGUAUUCACUGAAAUGGCGGUAGCAUACCGUCCAGAUGGGCUCUUCUGGCCGUCCUGUUGCACAGUCAAUGACAGUAUGAAUAUCAACAAGUGUCGCAGGUAUGGUCUAAGGCUUGCUGAGGUCGGCCUAAUAAGUUCGAAUGCAAAACACACAAAAUUACCACCAAUAGCAAAAAACAGUACAAUUGCAC